rnacentral:tRNA from 1 species
UGUAAUCUGGUGUGGUUAGCAUUUUAUGUUUUGGUCAUAAAGGAAAUUAGUAGUUGGUUACAG